CCUACGGGGGGCAGCAGUGAGGAAUAUUGGUCAAUGGACGCAAGUCUGAACCAGCCAUGCCGCGUGCAGGAUGACGGCUCUAUGAGUUGUAAACUGCUUUUGUACGAGGGUAAACCCCGAUACGUGUAUCUGGUUGAAAGUAUCGUACGAAUAAGGAUCGGCUAACUCCGUGCCAGCAGCCGCGGUAAUACGGAGGAUCCGAGCGUUAUCCGGAUUUAUUGGGUUUAAAGGGUGCGUAGGCGGUUUGAUAAGUUAGAGGUGAAAUGUCGGGGCUCAACUCCGAAACUGCCUCUGAUACUGUUGGGCUAGAGAAUAGUUGCGGUAGGCGGAAUGUAUGGUGUAGCGGUGAAAUGCUUAGAGAUCAUACAGAACACCGAUUGCGAAGGCAGCUUACCAAGCUAUAUCUGACGUUGAGGCACGAAAGCGUGGGUAGCAAACAGGAUUAGAUACCCGUGUAGUC
rnacentral:rRNA from 1 species